rnacentral:miRNA from 1 species
GGAGGAUGGGAGGGAGAAGUAACAAAACUGGAAAAAAAAAUUAAAAAACUGAAAUCUAUAUUUGAAAUUGUUUUCACUUUCAAAUUUUUGUUUUCACUUUUGUUACUUCCCCUCUCAUCCUCUCU